CUUUCUAACUCUGUUUUCUGGUUAAUGAAAAGAAAAUAGGGUUCCACUGAGUCUCCUAUCUACCUACUCCAGGACUUCUGUGAGAAUCAAAUGAGUUGAGGCAUGUGAAAACACUUCAUGAACAUUUGGUUAAACUGUAAAAUGUUUGCACCUGGCUAUAAGUAAGUUGGGUUCCUGAGCUAAAGAAACUCCAAGGAGGCUAAUCGCUAGGGGGAGGAAGCCAGGCUUACAUAUUUUAAAAUCUCAU